UACAGAGGGGGCAAGCGUUGUUCGGAAUUACUGGGCGUAAAGGGCGCGUAGGCGGCCUGUUAAGUCGAACGUGAAAUCCCCGGGCUCAACCCGGGAACUGCGUCCGAAACUGGCAGGCUCGAAUUCGGGAGAGGGAUGCGGAAUUCCAGGUGUAGCGGUGAAAUGCGUAGAUAUCUGGAGGAACAUCGGUGGCGAAGGCGGUUCUCUGGAACGCAACUGACGCUGAGACGCGAAAGCGUGGGGAGCAAACAGG
rnacentral:rRNA from 1 species